GACGAACGCUGGCGGCGUGCCUAAUACAUGCAAGUCGAGCGGACAAUUGAGAGCUUGCUCUCAAUUGUUAGCGGCGGACGGGUGAGUAACACGUGGGCAACCUGCCCUGUAGACUGGGAUAACUUCGGGAAACCGAAGCUAAUACCGGAUAAUCUUUAGCGUCACAUGGCGCAAAAGUAAAAGUUGGGUUUACCUAACACUACAGGAUGGGCCCGCGGCGCAUUAGCUAGUUGGUAAGGUAAUGGCUUACCAAGGCGACGAUGCGUAGCCGACCUGAGAGGGUGAUCGGCCACACUGGGACUGAGACACGGCCCAGACUCCUACGGGAGGCAGCAGUAGGGAAUCUUCCGCAAUGGACGAAAGUCUGACGGAGCAACGCCGCGUGAACGAUGAAGGCCUUCGGGUCGUAAAGUUCUGUUGUUAGGGAAGAACAAGUACCGUUCAAAUAGGGCGGUACCGGACGUACCAACGAGA
rnacentral:rRNA from 1 species